AAUGAACGCUGGCGGCAGGCCUAAAACAUGCAAGUCGAACGCUGUAGCAAUACAGAGUGGCGCACGGGUGAGUAACAUGUGGGAAUAUGCCUUUUGGUACGGAACAACGUCUGGAAACGGACGCUAAUACCGUAUGGUCCCUUCGGGGUAAAGAUUUAUCGCCAAAAGAUUAGCCCGCACUAGAUUAGCUAGUUGGUGAGGUAAGAGCUCACCAAGGCGACGAUCUAUAGCGGGUCUGAGAGGAAGAUCAGCCACUGGGACUGAGACACGGCCCAGACUCCUACGGGAGGCAGCAGCUAGGAAUAUUGGACAAUGGGCGCAAGCCUGAUCCAGCCAUGCCGCGUGAGUGAUGAAGGCCUUCGGGUUGUAAAACUCUUUAGCCGAUGAAUAUAAUGACUGUAGUCGGAAAAUAAGCUCCGGCUAACUUCGUGCCAGCCGCCGCCGUAACAC
rnacentral:rRNA from 1 species